rnacentral:lncRNA from 1 species
CAGUGCCAGUGUUGGUGUCGGUGUUGGUGGUGCCGGUGUUGGUGGUAUCGGUGUUGGUGUCGGUGCCAGUGUUGGUGUUGUUGGUGUUGGUGUCGUCGGUGCCGGUGUUGGUCCCGGUGCCGGUGUUGUUGUUGGUGUUGGUGCCGGUGUUGGUGUUGUUGCUGUUGUUGUUGUCGGUGCCGGUGUUGGUGCCAGUGUUGGUUCUGGUGUUGGUGUUGUUGGUAUCAGUGUUGUUGGUGUUGGUUCCGUUGUUGGUGUCGGUGUCGGUGUUGUUGGUGUCAGUGUUGGUUCCAGUCUUGGUGUCAGUGUUGGUGCCGUUGGUGUCAGUGUCGGUGUUGUUGGUGUCGGUGUUGGUUCCGGUCUUGGUGUCAGUGUUGUUGGUGCUGUUGGUGCUGUUGGUGUUGGUGUUGUUGGUGUUGGUUGCGGUGUUGGUGUCAGUGUUGGUACCGGUGUUGUUGGUGCUGUUGCCGGUGUCGGUGUU